AUAUGUAUCUAUCUAUUGGGCAGCUUCUUACCUGACCACCAGAGGGCGGGCUCUUCUGUUAAACCAGUGGACUCACCUGCAGUGAAGGGCUGUAAAGUGUGAUGCAAACAGCGUCUUGACAGGUGGCGCUCUGCUAUGAAUCAGAUCAAGGACAGUGAAGAGGAAGCUCCGCCCUCUAAAACCACUCUGUGUGAGGAACAUGAGGGUCAGAGGAGGAUCCAUCAACAGGAACCAGACUCUGCCGGACCUGGACCUGGACCCAGCUGUGUGUCCAUGAAGAGUGACCGGUCCAUGGAUGAACUUUUGAACUUCAAACGAGAACAGAGGUCAGAUGAUGGAGGGUGGAGGUCUUCACAGGUCAACAACUCAAAUGAUCCACCAUGUAGCACCAGAGACACCUAAUAUUUGAGAAUUCAGACCCAGACCCAUGCAGACCCAAGACAUUCUCGACCC